CUGUCUCCCUGUCUGCAUAGAGAAAGCAGCUUCCGGCUCAGGAAAACAAAGGUUUGUUAGGCUGCUGCCAACCAAUGCCCUCCUGGGGUGUACAUGGAGUGUAUCCCAAAGCCUGAACCCCCAGGAGGAGGACAAGACAAGCAGGUGGCAGAAACCAGUACUCAGUCCAAAACCUGAGGUCCAUUAGGCUUGUUUGUAGACAAUCUCCAGGUCUGCCUUCCUUUAAAAUCUACAUUACCAGGAGCUGUACACACUAGCAAAGACCUUUGAAGCACUGGGACAAGGAGAAGCAAUCAAGAGUCAUCACUAAAAAUGAAGCAGACCUUCUAUAAGGAUGAAAUAGGAGCUAGUCGUGUCAACAAAGGAACAUCUUGAACAGAACAAAGCUUGUGCUUUGAAGCAGAAAGAGGUUGAUUCCCGAGACCACAGUGGCUAGAUUUUGGGGACAAGAAAACAGGACGGAUGAAAAAUGUGUCCUAUGUUUCCAACUUGGGCAGCUGGCUGGACAAUAGAACUAUGGACUGAGAGAACAUAAGAUGAGAAGCCACAUUGAACGAGCCCACAAAUGCUCCACACUGAAUCAAAGACAGCUUGGCUGGCUGAACCGAAGAAGACCUCUCCAGAAGUCUCUGGUCUUCAUAACGCUAACUGAACAGAACCUGAAGCUGUGAGCACAGCAUUGAAACAUCCCCCACAAAGGAGGGCAAUGGGGUGCCUGUACAGCAAGGCUCACAACAGUGAAAAAAGAACAUAGAAUAUAGAAAAUCCAAUGAGAAGGCCAGCAGAACAUCUGCUGGAGAAAAGGUGAAUCUGGGAGCUACUUUGGUGAGCAUGAACUCUUUUUUUAUUAAAAAAUUAAAAGAAAGAAGGAGAUUAAGAUAAAAGAGGACAUAACAACAUAAAAACACAGGUCAGAACAGAACAAUUUAAGGAACAUAGUGUUUCACCACAAAAUAACCCAACAUAACAGUAGCUACCGUAGUGUCUCUUUCCUUGAAAUAUUUAAGUAUAACUUCAUAUAUUAUAGCAUCAAACACAGCAUGACAGUGUAAAAUCAUUCAAGAGAAUGAAAGUAUUACAGGGUAUUUAGAACCAACAGAAAAUGAACAAUGGCUUCUAUAUUAUCUCCUUGUCUAUAAAAAUUUUGUUUAUACUAUCACAUAUAAUAAAAUCCAAUUAGAUACAACAUGAUAAACUGAUGGAGACAGAAGAACAAAAGCUUCAGAGCAUGAACACUUUAAGGAGUAUUUAAGAUGCAAGAACAACAGAGAUUACCAGUACUGGGGAUUUCAGAGAACAGUGGUCAAUUAAGUGGUUCCAGGGGGUUGAGAUCACAAUGCAUCCCAGAAACACCAUCAGUGUCUCUCUAUGUUGGUGACAGUCUGUGCUGACAAACUAAAGUAAUUACUUUUGUCCUCUUGGGUUUUUGAGCACCCACUUCAAUCAAAUAAAAAGGUUAAAACAAGAGCUAAAUGUGCUCCUUUGUCACCAUGUCAUUGUGCUUGAUGGCAGCAUGCACGUGUGCAGAGGCUGGUUCAUUUAAGCUUUUGGGAGCCAAGUGACAAAGGUGGUCAAUUGGAACACUCAAAAACAGCAAUUGUCCAAAGAACUGAGGACAGGAACAUUUGAAAUCAAUAUACCUUGAAAAACGAAAGUGCAGUUCAUUACAUUCCUAUUAUAAUUUUAUUUUGCUCUUGCGUUAGCCAGAAAAUAGUAAUGGCAGUUGAAAAGCAUGUGUUUACUGAUUCUUUACCUCCUGGCAUUUUGUUUUGUUGCAUUUACUUUACUGCCUUUUCAUCUAAGACCAUGUGUAAUAUAUUUUUAUAAUACAAGUCCAGGGGAAACAUUCCACUAUAAUGUUCAUCCUCUAGUUGUAUGACCUUGAGGAAACCAAUUCACAAAAAGCAGGCUUUAAAAGAUGAAAUGAAUUUCAGUAUCAUCUUCAAACUCUCACUUUCCAAAUGAAGAAGAGAAAUACCAAUGUCUGCAGUGAAGUGAAGGUAGGAUUUAGUUCUAGAGACCUAUUCAUUCCCUGUUAGUGACUUUUUAGUUGUUAAUUUUAGUUCAAUUUGACUCAAUUUCUUUCUGCUCAGUUAACAUCUAAGGAGUGCCAUGUAUGCAAGGACACUUAUUUAUUUAACAUCAGAAAUUUAAUACUGAGAGUAAUAAUAGAAAAAGUAUGAAUUUUGAGAUCAGAACCAUUUCAAAUCUUACCUCAACCUCUUAUGUAUGAGCUGUCAUUUUUUUUUUUUUUUGUCUUUUUCUUUUUUUUAUCGGUACCAGGGAUCGAACUCACGACUGCCUGCUUGCAAGGCAGACGCUUAUGCCACUGAGCUAAAUCCCCAGCCCGAGCUGUCAUUUUUUUUACAAAGUUACCAGAACAUCCAUGUCCAUAAUUAUAAAAGUAGAUUCUGACCACCUACCUCUCAGAAUUAUAAAACUUAAUGAAAUUAUGGGUGAAAAAAUCCCAGGUCAGUCUUAACAUGAUUGUUUUAUCUAAUCCCCAUUUCCCUCCUUUAGGACCUACUGUUUAGUCCUCUUGUAUAUCCCCAUGGCUCUUUGUAAUGCAAUCAAUUAUACCACUUAUGAAACUGUCCUAUAAUUAUCUACUUCUGUCUGUGAAUAAGUCUGUAGUACUUUGACAGGAAGAUCUUGUGUUAUUUAUUACUGGCCAUCAAAAGUGAUAAGAGAGAAGAGCUAAAUAUGGCAGAUAGUUAAGCAGCAGCAUACAGAGCCUCCCUGAGCUCUGAGGCUCUUGCACCUCAAUGACCAACAGCAAACUGGAGAGGGCAGAAAUCCCUGGCCAGUGCAUUUCAGAAGAACCAUACCAACAGCAAAGUGGCUGGGACCUCCACUGUACAUCUGUAAGGAAAAAAACCAAAAACAUAACAAGAGAAAGAAAUAAGAAAACACCCCAAGCCCCCAGUGAGUAUUGAUCCAGGAGAGGUAAAUACAGAGGAUACUGAGGGAAGCAAACAUGCAAUAUCAGACAUGGCAUCACUGGACAUAAAGAGAUAUCUUCACAACUUCAUAAAGGAGUUUAAAACUGAAAUGUUAAUUCAAGUAAAGCAAGAUAUAAGAAGAUUAAUAAAAGAAAUGCUAAACACCUCUCAAGAAGACACAGACAGAAGAAUAGAGGGACACAAAAAAGGAGAGAAACAUUCAAUGAAGAAUAUAAAGAAAAUCUAGAACACAUGAAGCAGAUUCAAUGAGAUUACCAGGAAAUUAAAAACUCCAUUGAAAGCUGGCAAAACUGCUUGAAAGAAACUAAGGAAAGACUAUCAAAACUUGAAGGUAGGUUUGCAAUGUAUGAUCAUGAAAGGAAGAUCUCUUAAAAAUAACAAGGAAAACAGGAAAUAACAAUACAAAGGCUAGAAGAUGACAAGAGGAUCUAUAACUUAAGGAUAAAAUAUGUAAGUGAAGAAGCAGGGAUAAAAAUAAAGGAAUGACAAAGGCUAUUCACAGAAAUAAAUAAGGAAAACUUCCCAAACAUAGGAAACGGAAAUGAUAUUCAGAUGUAUGAGGCAUAGAGAACUCCAGCCAGUUAUAACGAAAACAAAGCUACACCCAGGCAUGUAAUAAUCAAGAUCCCAGAAAUUCAAUAUGAGAACAGAAUAUUAAAAGCCAUCAAAGAAAAGAAACAGAUCACCUGUAAAGGAAAACCCAUCAAAAUCAUAGCAGACUUCUCAACACAGACCAUCAAAUCAAGAAGAGCUUGGAGGGAAGUAUUCCAAGCACUGAAAGAAAAUAACCUCCUGCCCAGAUUGAUGCACCCUGAAAAACUGUCUCUAGAAAUUAAUGGAGAAACAAGAUGCUUCCAAGACAAAGAGGAACUGAAGGAAUUUGCGAUCACCAAUCCAACUCUACAGAGAUUUCUCCAGGACAUUAUAGAGAGAGAGAAAGUAAUGGGAUGCCAGGAACAGUGGCAUAGAGGCCUCAAUGAAUGGGGCAGACAGUGGAAUGAAGGAGGAAAGUAGACAAUUAACAGCAGAAAAAUAGCAUAGCAGAAAUGAGACACAGAAGGUUUGCUAUAAUCUCUAACAUAGACGGCCUUGAUACACUAAAAAAAAAAAAAAAAAAAGAAAAGAAAAGAAAAAAGAAACACAGGCAGAGUAGAUCAGGAGGUAGGGUCCACUGAGAUGCUCUAUAUAGGAAAUAUAAUUAACCUGAAAAAAGAUUUAUGGAUCAAAAGUCAAAUAUGAGAAAACAAUGCUCUAUGUGACAGAGAAUGAGACAGAAAUAGGAGCAACUCAACCAGCACCUGCAGAUAGGUUGGAAAGACAGGAUACUUAUGUGCAGUAGAGAACUACUCAGCUAUAAUGAAGGAAAACCUUGAGGCUUUUGUAGGUAAAGGAAUACAACUUGAGAUCAAGUCCAAGAGUGAGGAGGUUUGGAACCACUUAGGUAACUAGCAGGUUGCGCCCCCCCCCCCCGGCCCAAUCUAAAAACUUUGGGAGUUGGUAAGACCCAAAAUGCGCAGUGCACCCUGUGAGAGUGAAAGGGGAAGAAUAGUCUAAAAAAAAAAAAAAAAAAAAAAAGAAGGCAGAAGAUAUUGUUAAUAGUGCAACAGGAUUUAAAAUCCACAUUACUCACACCAUUCUGUUUAGAUGGGUUAUAUUUUGUUUCAGCUUGUGUACGUGUACUAGAUUUGAGAGCACAGACAGCUAUCCUGAAAAUAGCAGGAUGUAGUAUGAUAAUCAUUCUUAAUUUCCUAUUAACUUAAUCUGAAGCCCUGUAUAACUUACACUGUUUUAUCAUAACUGAUCUUAUUUGAAUCUGGUUUGUUAGAUUGCUGUUUUGUAUAGACGGAUUUUAUUUGAAUCUGUUAUGAUUGAUAGUAUCAAUUCUAAGAGUCUAGGCAGCUACACUGAAGAUGACACGAUUCGCCAGGAUACCCACUCUGGUUUGAUUAUUACCUGCUUUUGAAGUUUUACACUGUCUACAAAGUUUUGUUUUUAUUAAUAUUGUUAUAUGCUGCUAUGUUCAAUUAUACUAUGCCUGAUGAUAUAGACAAUUCUAUUGAAGAUAACAAGAGACAACACAGUAACCACUGUUGAUCACCUUGUACUGUGAUUUUAUAUGACUUUUGGUUUCAUGCUUUUAAUAGGAAUUUGUUUUGUUUUUCCCUCAAAUGCAGAAAGGAUAGAAAUACAUGUAGAGAUUCAUGCAUGCGUAGAACCUAAAAACAGUUUAUGAGAACUGAUUAUAUAAUGCAUGAUGAACAACUACUUUGAAGAAGAGACACUAUAAUACCCAGUGCUGAUUCUGGCAUAUAUUAUGCCAGCAUCAUGACGUGAAAUCCAGCAAUACUAUUAUUCUUUAUUCAGAGUAAUUUUAGCCUGUUUUGUUUUGUUUAAUUUCAACAUACAUGAAGGUAUGGACAGCUAUUUUGAAGAGAAUGAGAGACACUAUGACAGCCAUUGUCGACUUCCCUAUUGUCUAGUCUUGAAGACCUAAAACACCUUCCUCAUCCUGUUUGGAUCAGUUUUAUAUUAUGUUGUUUCUCUGUAUAUGAAGAUAUGGACAACUGUUUGGAAGAAAACAAGAGGCAAUAUGAUUGAUAGUAAAGAUCUCUGGUUGUCCUGCUUUGAAAUUUAUGCCUCUUACAUUGCUUUCUUAUGUUGUUUUGUUGUUAAUUUUACCCUCUUUAAAAUAAAAAAAUUUUAAGUGAUAA